rnacentral:sRNA from 1 species
AGGGAGAGGGAAGAUAGAGAUAAAGAGGAUAGAGAA